rnacentral:tRNA from 2 species
GGCCGUGUGGAGGAAUUGGUAGACUCGCCAUCUUGAGGGGGUGGUGUCCAUAAGACGUGUCAGUUCGAAUCUGAUCACGGUCA